rnacentral:rRNA from 1 species
ACGAACGCUGGCGGCGUGCUUAACACAUGCAAGUCGAGCGGUAAGGCCCUUUCGGGGGUACACGAGCGGCGAACGGGUGAGUAACACGUGGGUGACCUGCCUUUAGCUCUGGGAUAAGCCUGGGAAACUGGGUCUAAUACCGGAUAUGACUCCAUGAUGCAUGUUGUGGGGUGGAAAGCCUUGUGCGGCUGGAGAUGGGCCCGCGGCCUAUCAGCUUGUUGGUGGGGUGANGGCCUACCAAGGCGACGACGGGUAGCCGGCCUGAGAGGCGACCGGCCACACUGGGACUGAGACACGGCCCAGACUCCUACGGGAGGCAGGCAGUGGGGAAUCUUGCGCAAUGGGCGAAAGCCUGACGCAGCGA